rnacentral:rRNA from 1 species
GACGAACGCUGGCGGCGUGCCUAACACAUGCAAGUCGAACGGAGAAUCAGCAAUGGUUCUUAGUGGCGAACGGGUGAGUAACGCGUAGACAACCUGCCUUCUAGAUGGGGACAACACCGCGAAAGUGGUGCUAAUACCGAAUGUUGUACUAAAUCCUCCUGGAAUUAGUAUUAAAGAUGGCCUCUAUUUAUAAGCUAUCGCUAGAAGAUGGGUCUGCGUCUGAUUAGCUAGUUGGUGAGGUAAUGGCUCACCAAGGCGACGAUCAGUAGCCGAUCUGAGAGGAUGAACGGCCACACUGGGACUGAGACACGGCCCAGACUCCUACGGGAGGCAGCAGUGGGGAAUCUUCCGCAAUGGACGAAAGUCUGACGGAGCAACGCCGCGUGAGUGAAGAAGGCCUUCGGGUCGUAAACUCCUGUCGACUGGGAAGAAUGCACCUGACCUAAUACGUCAAAGUGUUGACUGUACCGGUGGAGGAAGCCACGGCUAACUCUGUGCCAGCAGCCGCGGUAACAC